AUAUUUAACUGGGCGGGUCAUCAAUGGGCGAUCAAGAAGACUCAUGGCCUAGCUAGGCUAGUGACCUCCAUUGCACUUUGAGAGGUACUGCUCAAGGUCUCCCCAAGAGGGAGAGCCUGUAUGUCAUAAUUUGUUAUAGGGGGUUUUGCGUACGCGCAGCCUCGCG